rnacentral:rRNA from 1 species
UACGGGGGGGGCAAGCGUUGUUCGGAAUUACUGGGCGUAAAGGGCCAGUAGGCGGCCAACUAAGUCCGACGUGAAAUCCCAAGGCUUAACCUUGGAACUGCGUCGGAUACUGGAUGGCUUGAAUUCGGGAGAGGGAUGCAGAAUUCCAGGUGUAGCGGUGAAAUGCGUAGAUAUCUGGAGGAACACCUGCGGCGAAGGCGGGUUGCUGGGCUGACACUGACGCUGAAGUGCGAAAGCUAGGGGAGCGAACGGG